GUCACAGGCUUCGGCCCGGCCACCCUUCCUGCCUUCCCAUCCCCCCAGAGGCCUCGGCCUUCUGCUUCCUGCAAGACAGGGAGCAGCCUCUGCACCUGCCACUCCUCCUCCCCGCCCCAUGGCUGAAGCAGGACUGGUUCAGAGAUCUCAGCUUCAUGGAACGAGAAGAGCCUGGGAGCAGGACGAAGCUGGCCUGGAGAAGGGGGAUGACCUAGGACCACUCCUCUUCCGCAGCUGAGAGAGACCUCCAGUAGAACUGUAAGAACUGGUGAUGGCAUUGCGCCUGGAGAUGGGCACGCCGCCUGAGUACGUGCUGGUCAAGGAGCUCAGAGAAGAGGUUGCCUCCUGCAGUCACCGCAGCUGCUGCAGACACCGUGACUACGCAAGCAAGGGUAGCCCCGGAAUAAAU
rnacentral:lncRNA from 9 species